UACGGAGGGCGCAAGCGGUGUUCGGAAUCACUGGGCGUAAAGCGCGUGUAGGCGGCUUGGCAAGUCGGGUGUGAAAUCCCGAGGCUCAACCUCGGAACUGCACUCGAAACUGCUUGGCUCGAGUCCCGGAGAGGGUGGCGGAAUUCCCGGUGUAGGGGUGAAAUCCGUAGAUAUCGGGAGGAACACCAGUGGCGAAGGCGGCCACCUGGACGGUGACUGACGCUGAGACGGGGAAGCGUGGGGAGCAAACAGG
rnacentral:rRNA from 1 species